rnacentral:miRNA from 1 species
UGCCCUUUUUCUGUUGUACUACU